rnacentral:lncRNA from 1 species
GAGCCAAUAAAUGCCGCGGGAGGGCGGGAUCUCGAGAAGGAAGAGCCAAUGACUGAGCAGCUGCGAGGGCGAAGCCGGAGGAAAGAACCAAGAUGGCGGCGCCCAGGGCGCUUCUCAGAGCUGGCCUUCCCACAUGGUCAGGAGGAGGGACCCUGAGCAGCCAGAGUAACUUUGGCUACCGCCCGAACCCCAUCUAUGACCUGAGCCCCGGCCGUGACCGCCAGCGGGGCCUGAUGGCCACCAUGGCGUCUCGAUUCUCCGACAUAGAACAUUUACGCGAUUUGAUCGCCCGUUUCCGGAGCUGGAACCUGUAUAGUAUGAACAAGGUGUUCGGCACCAUCUUGAGAAUGCCACAGGCGGACGUGGCGGCUAGCCUUCUCCUGC